rnacentral:rRNA from 1 species
UGAGGAAUCUUGCGCAAUGGGCGAAAGCCUGACGCAGCGACGCCGCGUGGGGGAUGACGGCCUUCGGGUUGUAAACCUCUUUCAGCAGGGACGAAGCGAGAGUGACGGUACCUGCAGAAGAAGCACCGGCCAACUACGUGCCAGCAGCCGCGGUAAUACGUAGGGUGCAAGCGUUGUCCGGAAUUAUUGGGCGUAAAGAGCUCGUAGGCGGUUUGUUGCGUCGGCUGUGAAAUCCCGAGGCUCAACCUCGGGUCUGCAGUCGAUACGAGCAAACUAGAGUGUUGCAGGGGAGACUGGAAUUCCUGGUGUAGCGGUGAAAUGCGCAGAUAUCAGGAGGAACACCGGUGGCGAAGGCGGCAUCCUGGACCAACACUGACGCUGAGGAGCGAAAGCCAGGGGAGCAAA